GGUGAACGCUGGCGGCGUGCUUAACACAUGCAAGUCGAACGGAAAGGCUCCUGCUUGCAGGGGCACUCGAGUGGCGAACGGGUGAGUAACACGUGGGUGAUCUGCCCUGCACUUCGGGAUAAGCCUGGGAAACUGGGUCUAAUACCGGAUAGGACCAUCGUUUAGUGUCGGUGGUGGAAAGUUUUUUCGGUGUGGGAUGAGCUCGCGGCCUAUCAGCUUGUUGGUGGGGUAAUGGCCUACCAAGGCGUCGACGGGUAGCCGGCCUGAGAGGGUGUACGGCCACAUUGGGACUGAGAUACGGCCCAGACUCCUACGGGAGGCAGCAGUGGGGAAUAUUGCACAAUGGGCGCAAGCCUGAUGCAGCGACGCCGCGUGGGGGAUGACGGCCUUCGGGUUGUAAACUCCUUUCGCCAGGGACGAAGCGAAAGUGACGGUACCUGGAUAAGAAGCACCGGCUAACUACGUG
rnacentral:rRNA from 1 species